GACAGAGGUGCCGAGCGUUAGGCGGAAUCACUGGGCUUAAAGCGUGUGUAGGCGGACCGUUAAGUACCUUGUGAAAUCCCACGGCUCAACCGUGGAACGGCUGGGUAUACUGGCGGUCUUGGGCCACCUAGGGGUCAUCGGAACAGGCGGUGGAGCGGUGAAAUGCGUAGAUAUCGCCUGGAACGCCGACGGUGAAAACAGAUGACUGGGGGUGUGCCGACGCUGAGACACGAAAGCCAGGGGAGCAAACGGG
rnacentral:rRNA from 1 species